rnacentral:rRNA from 1 species
UACGUAGGGGGCAAGCGUUGUCCGGAUUUAUUGGGCGUAAAGAGCGUGUAGGCGGCUAGAUAGGUCCGUUGUGAAAACUCGAGGCUCAACCUCGAGACGUCGAUGGAAACCAUCUGGCUAGAGUCCGGAAGAGGAGAGUGGAAUUCCUGGUGUAGCGGUGAAAUGCGUAGAGAUGUGGAGGAACACCGAUGGCGAAGGCAGCCCCCUGGGUCAAGAUUGACGCUCAUGCACGAAAGCGUGGGGAGCAAACAGG